CGCUGGCGGCGUGCUUAACACAUGCAAGUGGAGCGACGAACCGGGGCUUGCCCCGGGGCAGAGCCGCGAACGGGUGAGUAACACGUGGGUAACCUGCCUCAAUGAUUGGGACAACCCGGGGAAACUCGGGCUAAUACCAAAUGUGUUCACUCCUUCUAAGGGGAGUGAGGAAAGGAAGCUUCGGCCUCCGCAUUGAGAUGGGCCCGCGGCCCAUUAGCUUGUUGGUGAGGUAACGGCUCACCAAGGCUUCGAUGGGUAGCUGGUCUGAGAGGACGAUCAGCCACACUGGGACUGAGACACGGCCCAGACUCCUACGGGAGGCAGCAGUGGGGAAUCUUGCACAAUGCGCGAAAGCGUGAUGCAGCAACGCCGCGUGGGGGAAGACGGCCUUCGGGUUGUAAACCCCUUUCAGUUGGGACGAAGCUUCGUCGGUGAAUAGCCGGUUGGAGUGACGGUACCUUCAGAAGAAGCCCCGGCUAACUACGUG
rnacentral:rRNA from 1 species